UUACGGCCAUAUCACGUUCGAACACCGGUUCUCGUACAAUCACCAAAGUUAAGCAACGACGAGCUUGGCCAGUACCUAAAUGAGUAACCGCUUCGGAAUGUCAAGGUGCUGUAAU